CUUGAGCGAACCGAGCCACAACGGCUGCUUCCGCUCCUGGCCGUAGGUCGCCAGCAGGGCCUGCGCCUC
rnacentral:antisense_RNA from 2 species